rnacentral:rRNA from 1 species
AACGAACGCUGGCGGCAUGCCUAACACAUGCAAGUCGAACGAGACCUUCGGGUCUAGUGGCGCACGGGUGCGUAACGCGUGGGAACCUGCCCUUAGGUUCGGAAUAACUCUCCGACAGGGGUGCUAAUACCGGAUAAUGUCUUCGGACCAAAGAUUUAUUGCCUUUGGAUGGGCCCGCGUUGGUUUAGCUAGUUGGUAGGGUAAAAGCCUACCAAGGCGACGAUCCAUAGCUGGUCUGAGAGGAUGAUCAGCCACACUGGGACUGAGACACGGCCCAGACUCCUACGGGAGGCAGCAGUGGGGAAUAUUGGACAAUGGGCGAAAGCCUGAUCCAGCAAUGCCGGGUGAGUGAUGAAGGCCUUAGGGUUGUAAAGCUCUUUUACCCGGGAUGAUAAUGACGGUACCGGGAGAAUAAGCACCGGCUAACUCCGUG